UACGGGGGGGGCAAGCGGUUGUUCGGAAUUACUGGGCGUAAAGGGCUCGUAGGUGGCCAACUAAGUCAGACGUGAAAUCCCCAGGCUCAACUUGGGAACUGCGUCUGAUACUGGAUGGCUUGAAUUCGGGAGAGGGAUGCAGAAUUCCAGGUGUAGCGGUGAAAUGCGUAGAUAUCCGGAAGAACACCGGUGGCGAAGGCGGCCUGCUGGGCAGUUGCUGACACUGAGGCGCGACAGCGUGGGGAGCAAACAGG
rnacentral:rRNA from 1 species